UACGUAGGGUGCGAGCGUUGUCCGGAAUUAUUGGGCGUAAAGAGCUUGUAGGCGGUUUGUCGCGUCUGCUGUGAAAAUCCGGGGCUCAACCCCGGACUUGCAGUGGGUACGGGCAGGCUAGAGUGUGGUAGGGGAGACUGGAAUUCCUGGUGUAGCGGUGAAAUGCGCAGAUAUCGGGAAGAACACCCGUGGCGAAGGCGGCUCUCUGGGACGGUACUGACGCUGAGGCGCGAAAGCGUGGGGAGCAAACAGG
rnacentral:rRNA from 1 species